GAAUAUUGGUCAAUGGAUGCAAGUCUGAACCAGCCAUGCCGCGUGCAGGAAGAAGGCCUUCUGGGUUGUAAACUGCUUUUGUCAGGGGAUAAAAAUUCCUUGCGAGGAAGAUUGAAGGUACCUGGCGAAUAAGCCACGGCUAACUACGUGCCAGCAGCCGCGGUAAUACGUAGGUGGCAAGCGUUGUCCGGAGUUAUUGGGUUUAAAGGGUGCGUAGGCGGCUUUGUAAGUCAGUGGUGAAAUAUCGCAGCUUAACUGUGAGGGCGCCAUUGAUACUGCAGAGCUUGAGUACAGAUGAGGUAGGCGGAAUUGACGGUGUAGCGGUGAAAUGCUUAGAUAUCGUCAAGAACACCUAUAGCGAAGGCAGCUUACUAGGCUGUAACUGACGCUGAGGCACGAAAGUGUGGGGAUCAAACAGG
rnacentral:rRNA from 1 species